GUACUCACUUCUGCAGCACAUAUGCUAAAAUGGGAAUGAAACAGAGAAGAUUAGCAUGGCCCCUAUGCAAGCGGGACAUGCAAAUUUGUGAAGCAUUUCUUAUUUUU